AAGAGCUCCCUCCCCAUCACCCCCUUCCCCCCACUACUCCCCACACACACACCCGCCCCUUCUGGGUGUAGCCUGGCAGACUCAGCAGCAACACCAGCUUCUGGACCCUCGGAACCAUCUUUGCUCAAACACCCACUCUUUUCCCAGAUAUUCUUUGGCUCCUUGCUGCGGAAUUUCUAAUUCUGUGUCUUAUCGUUCCCACUCGACUCUCCCAGAAGCCUCUCCCAGGCUUUUUGGUUAGAAUUUGACGUGGCGAUCGGGAUGCUGGAAACGGAUAGAACAUUUGGCCUCACGCACGCCCACUUUAAGGGCCUUAAGGUCCCUUUGUGGGGGUGGGUUGAAGGUGGUCACAGGAUGUGGCCAGCCAGGAGGGCCUUCGGCACCCCCUCCCCAUUGCCUGCCCGGUCCGAGUCCCGCCCCACCACCAGGAAAAGCCCCAAAGGGCCGCCCUUGUCAGUGGCUGCGGGUUUGCUCUUCGCGGGGCAUUUGUGUUUGAUUCAGGAAGGAGGCCUCACAUGCCAGGAAAGUCUGGUGGUGGGAGUAGGAGGUCUGAAAGGGGUCUUGUGGGGUGGCUCCUCUGAGCCCCUGCAAAGCCUUCCUCAGGCCCCGCACACACUUGAACUCUGUAAAGCAGUGGAUGCCCAUCUGCUUCCAUCAUGCACGCCGAUUGGCAAAACCUCUGAGACGUCCCCCCUCUGUCUGUUACCAGUUAUGAAGCCUGUGUUCAUACGUCUGCACUAAUCUGUUAGGCACAUCCUGCAAAGUACUCACAUAGCCAUUUUAAACAAAUAAGAUACAAAACAGUAUAAUCCGAGGUUCUGGAAUUUUCUCUCGGAACCCCUGAGGGGGACAUGAGGGACCCCCUUGGUGUGUUGCACCCCCACUUCGGACACUGCUGUUUUAAGAGCAAAUCAGCACCCCUUCAUGGCAUCCAUCCCCAACCACCGUGCUGGCACUUGGCCUAUGGAAUAGGGAGGUCUCCCGGCAAAAUCCCCGGGAGUCUGUAAUCCGGGAGGCAGGGCAGGCAAACUCUCAACGACUGAAAUGUCAAGAAUGCAAAACCCCGCCGACAAGAGGGCUGUCCCUGGCCGGCAGUGGCUACAGGUGCUAAGGAAGGACCAGGGACGCUGGACAGGGCCCCUCUUUCCUCCCUGGGUCUCCCAAAAAAGGCGUUUGGCAAUAUCUGCCCCCCCUCCCCUCACAACCGGAAGUCGUUAGCCCUCAAAGUGCACGGGCAGUCCUCUCCCCACAGCACCAGUGGGUCCACGUCGCUUGAAUAUUAUUUUUGAUUUGCCCACCGAGAUGUAAUGAUGAUUCUGUUCCAUUUUGAGAAAAUAAAAAAAAAAAAGGUCUGAGAAAGUGUACAGGUCUAAUUAUAUAUACAUAUUUAUACACGUGUAUUUUUGUUUAUUGUUACAUUUUGACAUUGGACUUUCUAUUAAAUGAUUUUUAACAGUU